UACGAGGGGAGCUAGCGUUGUUCGGAAUUACUGGGCGUAAAGGGCGUGUAGGCGGUACCAUAAGUCAGAUGUGAAAGCCCUAGGCUUAACCUAGGAGGUGCAUUUGAUACUGUGGAACUAGAGAUCGAGAGAGGUAAGUGGAAUUACGAGUGUAGAGGUGAAAUUCGUAGAUAUUCGUAAGAACACCAGUGGCGAAGGCGACUUACUGGCUCGAUACUGACGCUGAGGCACGAAAGCGUGGGGAGCAAACAGG
rnacentral:rRNA from 1 species